AUGCACGCUGGCGGCGUGCCUAAUACAUGCAAGUCGCGCGAACAGACGAGGAGCUUGCUCCUCUGACGUUAGCGGCGGACGGGUGAGUAACACGUGGAUAACCUACCUAUAAGACUGGGAUAACUUCGGGAAACCGGAGCUAAUACCGGAUAAUAUAUUGAACCGCAUGGUUCAAUAGUGAAAGACGGUUUUGCUGUCACUUAUAGAUGGAUCCGCGCCGCAUUAGCUAGUUGGUAAGGUAACGGCUUACCAAGGCAACGAUGCGUAGCCGACCUGAGAGGGUGAUCGGCCACACUGGAACUGAGACACGGUCCAGACUCCUACGGGAGGCAGCAGUAGGGAAUCUUCCGCAAUGGGCGAAAGCCUGACGGAGCAACGCCGCGUGAGUGAUGAAGGCCUUCGGAUCGUAAAACUCUGUUAUUAGGGAAGAACAAAUGUGUAAGUAACUAUGCACGUCUUGACGGUACCUAAUCAGAAAGCCACGGCUAACUACGUG
rnacentral:rRNA from 1 species